GCGAUAAGCAUUCCACCUGGGGAGUACGCCGGCAACGGUGAAACUCAAAGGAAUUGACGGGGGCCCGCACAAGCGAAGGAACAUGUGGUUUAAUUCGAUGAUACGCGAGGAACCUUACCCGGGCUCAAACGCAGGAGGCUUCAUAUGGAAACGUAUGAUUCACUUGUGACUUUCUGCGAGGUGCUGCAUGGUUGUCGUCAGCUCGUGCCGUGAGGUGUCGGCUUAAGUGCCAUAACGAGCGCAACCCCUGCCGCCAGUUGCUAACGCGUGAAGGCGAGGACUCUGGCGGGACUGCCGGCGCAAGCCGUGAGGAAGGCGGGGAUGACGUCAAAUCAGCACGGCCCUUACGUCCGGGGCGACACACGUGUUACAAUGGGGGGUACAGCGGGAAGCCACCUGGCGACAGGGCGCGGAACCCGAAAGCCUCUCUCAGUUCGGAUUGGAGUCUGCAACCCGACUCCAUGAAGCUGGAUUCGCUAGUAAUCGCGCAUCAGCCAUGGCGCGGUGAAUACGUUCCCGG
rnacentral:rRNA from 1 species